AUACGGGAGGCAGCAGUAAGGAAUAUUGGUCAAUGGACGCAAGUCUGAACCAGCCAUGCCGCGUGGAGGAUUAAGGCCCUCUGGGUUGUAAACUCCUUUUAUCUGGGAAGAAAUCCAUAUAUUCUUAUGUGGUUGACGGUACCAGAGGAAUAAGCACCGGCUAACUCCGUGCCAGCAGCCGCGGUAAUACGGAGGGUGCAAGCGUUAUCCGGAUUCACUGGGUUUAAAGGGUGCGUAGGCGGGUAAGUAAGUCCGUGGUGAAAUCUCUGAGCUUAACUCAGAAACUGCCGUGGAUACUAUUUGCCUUGAAUAUUGUGGAGGUGAGCGGAAUAUGUCAUGUAGCGGUGAAAUGCUUAGAUAUGACAUAGAACACCAAUUGCGAAGGCAGCUCACUACACAAUGAUUGACGCUGAGGCACGAAAGCGUGGGGAUCAAACAGGAUUAGAUACCCCGGUAGC
rnacentral:rRNA from 1 species